GACGAACGCUGGCGGCGUGCUUAACACAUGCAAGUCGAACGGAAAGGCCCUGCUUUUGUGGGGUGCUCGAGUGGCGAACGGGUGAGUAACACGUGAGUAACCUGCCCUUGACUUUGGGAUAACUUCAGGAAACUGGGGCUAAUACCGGAUAGGAUCUCCUGCGGCGUGGUGGGGGUUGGAAAGUUUCGGCGGUUGGGGAUGGACUCGCGGCUUUUCAGCUUGUUGGUGGGGUAGUGGCUUACCAAGGCUUUGACGGGUAGCCGGCCUGAGUGGGUGACCGGCGUCAUUGCGACUGCGAUACGGCCCAGACUCAUACGGGAGGCAGAAGUGGGAAAUAUUGCACAAUGGGAGGACGCCUGAGACAGCAACCCCGCGUGCGUAAAGACGGCCUUCGGGUUGUAAACCGCUUUCGCCUGUGACGACGCGUGAGUGACGGUAAUGGGUGAAGAAGCACCGGCUAACUACGUG
rnacentral:rRNA from 1 species